AUUGAACGCUGGCGGCAGGCCUAACACAUGCAAGUCGAAUGGUAACAGGAAACAGCUUGCUGUUUCGCUGACGAGUGGCGGACGGGUGAGUAAUGUCUGGGAAACUGCCUGAUGGAGGGGGAUAACUACUGGAAACGGUAGCUAAUACCGCAUAACGUCGCAAGACCAAAGAGGGGGACCUUCGGGCCUCUUGCCAUCAGAUUUGCCCAGAUGGGAUUAGCUAGUAGGUGGGGUAACGGCUCACCUAGGCGACGAUCCCUAGCUGGUCUGAGAGGAUGACCAGCCACACUGGAACUGAGACACGGUCCAGACUCCUACGGGAGGCAGCAGUGGGGAAUAUUGCACAAUGGGCGCAAGCCUGAUGCAGCCAUGCCGCGUGUAUGAAGAAGGCCUUCGGGUUGUAAAGUACUUUCAGCGGGGAGGAAGGGAGUAAAGUUAAUACCUUUGCUCAUUGACGUUACCCGCAGAAGAAGCACCGGCUAACUCCGUG
rnacentral:rRNA from 1 species